AGGCGCUGCCAUACUGAAAAUAAGAGAAAACCAUUCAGAUUAAAAUCUUGCCGAUAAUUAGUGAUCUACGAUGAUUGAGUCUGACAUUUAUCCUGAGUUGCAGUUUUUAAAGAUGUAUUAUGCCGUUCGACUUUCCAUACUGCUAGACAAGUGUUACAGUUAAUAUUAUAGAGCAGCAGUUAGUAGAAUUAGCCGAAACAAUUUUAAUUACAGAACUUGUGUAUCUCAAGUUUUUCAUGAAGAACCUCAUACGUGCUUUUGGGCAAGUGGUUGCCACAUGUUGCUCCAUCUGUGGUAGAAAGCGUUCUACCCAACGAAAAUUUGGGAAAAAGUUAGAGCCGGUCUAAGAUACGAGAAUUAACAUUGGAGUCAAUGGGGAAAUCUUUAGUGAUCUGUGUCCUGUCUGUGUGUGAUAAGGCUGUCACUGAUAUGCCUUAGUUUUGAAAAUAUGAAGAUUAAAUUCUCAGAAAAUAUGAAUAAAAUAGUUUGGCUACAGAAAAACUAAAAAAAGUUAAUUAAAAAAAAAAAAAAUCAAAGUUUUGAAGAAAAAUUGUGAUUUUACUGCAAAUUUCUCAAUUUUCAAUUUUUAUUGAAUUUUUAACAGUAAGUAAAAUAUUCUAAUGCCCAAUGUUGGCUUAUUCAGUCUCAGAAAGCACAGAUAAAAUGAACAGUAUUGAAAUUUCACCAAAUUUUGUCUAAAAAUCAGGAAUAUUCACAAAAAAUCUUGAGAUUCCCCCCAUUUGGAUGUAGAAAUUAAUAUUUUCAUGACUACUAAAAUGAGUCAAAAUGUCUAAAAAUGCCCAUAUUUUCUUUGCUAAUAUAACUUAGAUGGGAUCUACAUGUUUGUCAGGUGUAGAAAUAGCUCCAGCUUUCCUACAGAAAAUUGAAAAUUGGUAACACUGAGUUAAUAAUGUACAGCAGAUGGGUUUGUACAAAAUGUUCAAAACAGGGGUUGGCUCAAUUUUGCCACUAUUUUACCCAGAAUAAGCAUUUUUUUCUUCUUUGAAACAUUAAAUUCUUGCAUUUCCUUCAUGUAGGAAGCAAUAUCCCAGCCUUUCUAGACAUUUUUUACUCCAUCAUUCUGUUUAGAGAGGAAAUAAAUGCCCCACCCCACCCUUUUCUAUUAAUGUGUUUUGAGGGAUUUAAAUGCACCUGUGUUGACAUGUAAAUGAUCUUAAUUGGAAUUUGUGGUUGAAUUACAGCUAAGAAUGUUAUUUUUCACCCAAAAAUAUUUUUUUUGUGCAUUUCAAGGAUUUCUAACCCUUAUUUGUUCAGAGUCAAACGUAGAACCCUGAGGCAUUUCAGGCCAAUGAGACCAGACCCAGAUAUAAAACUGGUGUAGAUGUGUAAAUGUCAGUUUAAUUUUCAAUAUUUUCUUAUCAAAAUCCAGCAUUUGUGGUGUUUGCUGCAUUUAUGUUGCCUAUAAAACAAUAAAAUGUUAAUUUUUCUCCUUUUCAGGCCUCUUUUUAUGUUGUCAUGUCUGUCAUGACUACUUUUUUGACUUCAUUUUUUCAGGAAAUUAAUGUAAAGUUCCAGACAUCUUGCUUCAGCACAAGGAUUGCAAUACAAAUUUGUAACAUGCCUCUGAGGUUUGAGAUGUUGGAAACAUUGAAAUAUUCCCAAAUUUGUGAAAAUUGUGUAUU